rnacentral:rRNA from 1 species
AUACGUAUGGGGCAAGCGUUAUCCGGAAUUAUUGGGCGUAAAGAGUGCGUAGGUGGUUACCUAAGCGCAAGGUUUAAUCUUGAGGCUCAACCUCAUUCUGCCUUGCGAACUGGGCUACUUGAGUGCAGGAGGGGAAAGCGGAAUUCCCAGUGUAGCGGUGAAAUGCGUAGAUAUUGGGAAGAACACCGGUGGCGAAGGCGGCUUUCGGGACUGUAACUGACACUGAGGCACGAAAGCGUGGGGAGCAAACAGGAUUAGAUCCCCUGGUAGUCCACGCCGUAAACGAUGAGCACUAGUUGUUGGGUACGAAUGUAUUCAGUGACGCAGUUAACACAAUAAGUAUCCCACCUGGGGAGUACGAUCGCAAGAUUGAAACUCAAAUGAAUUGACGGGG